AAAAACAUCGCCUCCCGCAAAAUCUCUAUGUAUAGGAGGUCUCGCCUGCCCAGUGACAAUCUGUUAAAUGGCCGCGGUAUUUUGACCGUGCUAAGGUAGCGUAAUCACUUGUCUUUUAAAUGAAGACCCGUAUGAAUGGUAGAACGAGGGCUUUACUGUCUCCCCUUUCCAGUCAAUGAAAUUGAUCUGCCCGUGCAGAAGCGGACAUAAUGAUAUAAGACGAGAAGACCCUAUGGAGCUUAAAACAUAAAUUAAAUAAGCUAAAACCCAUAAAAGUGUAAACAACUUAUUAACUAAUUAAUGUUUUCAGUUGGGGCAACUAUGAGGGAAAACAAAGCCCUCAUGCGGAAUGGGAUAUUUCCUAAAACCAAGAGACACAUCUCUAAGUCACAAUUAAAUAUGACCUAAAGAUCCGGCCUAGGCCGAUUAACGAACCAAGUUACCCUAGGGAUAACAGCGCAAUCCCCUCCUAGAGACCCUAUCGACAAGGGGGUUUACGACCUCGAUGUUGGAUCAGGACAUCCUAAUGGUGCAGCCACUAUAAGGGCUCGUUUGUUCAACGAUUAA
rnacentral:rRNA from 1 species